rnacentral:lncRNA from 1 species
GCCUCCUUUUAGCAGCCUUAUUCCAGGCGGUUAUUGCUUGCUUGCUGGGCGGCCGAAGAAGUUUUAUCGAUCUGCUCGACAGCUGCCGGGCUGAAAUAAAAACGAGGGGGGAAAAAACGUCCCUUCUGCCUUCCCGACUCCGGCAGAAAGCGCUCCGCGAUAUUUGGCCUCGGCCUGGGCGCUUUCCUCCUCCUGUUUCCCUUCUCUCUCUCGAGACAAACCGGCGCUGCUGGCGUGAAUGAGGCUCCCCCACGAGCAACGCAAAGCGAACGGGCCCAACUUACCUUUUUUUGUUGUUGUUUUCUGCCAAAAUCUCCUAGUUGGGUUGUGGUUUCCGGCUGGCGCGUGAAGGAACGGAGCGGACUCAACCGGCCAGGCGUCGCUUAAAGCUUUUCCAGCUCUGCUUUCUGCCCUCGUGGGGUUUUUUUUAAUUCCCUCCGUCUCUGCCUGUGCGUAGCCUAGCUUCUUGUUUAGGGCCGUAGCUCGUUUCAUUUAAAACAGUUAUCCUAAAUGCUUUUUUUUGUUCUCUUUUUAAAACAGACACUUCUAAAGACUUUCCCGGGCAGGAUCGCGCGUGAGACGGACAGGUUUGGCCCAACGAGCUGUUACGUUCCAGCGGGCCGUUCGUCAGCAAACGAGACGUACCCGGUAACCACAAAAAGAGCUGAGACCCGACCGAGUUGUACGCCGGAGGGUGUUUUUUUUCCCCCCCCACCGCUUUCCUUUAACGCUCCGCAGCGCGCUUCCAGGCCCCGUGGUACGCGCGAGGGUGGAUUUGCGCCAACCGGCCUCCGAGACGAUCGCCUCGACCUACGGAAAGAGUUAAGGCGUGGAGGUCCGAAUCCAGGGUUCGGUUACUUCCGUGAGAGGCGAUCACCUUGACGCCGAGCCCGUCGCUUUGCUUUCCGAGCGCCUGCUAGUACGUAGAGAUAACGCUGGGAAAACUAGUAAACUCGAGUGAUUCUGGCCAGCGAGAGUUAGCUUGUGCGCUUCCCCCAUCGCUUUUAAAAGCUCUUUUGGGCUUGUUUUAUUUCUGAAGCCUUACAGGUCUGGCUUAGGUGAUGAAAAUCCGACUUUUUUGAAAGGUAUCAGGCAGGAGGAGCAGGCAGAAAUUAUCCUCCAGCGAUUUACCGGCGCUUCUGACCGUCCCGUAGCCUGUGCUGUGAUUUUUUUUUUCCCUUUCCUCCUCUUAUCACCACCUAAUUUAUCUAAUUUUGAUACGGAAGCCCCAUUUGCGGCGCGUUUGGAUCUAUCGCUCGCUCCCGGGGCUCUCUGCCAACGUAAGAAAUGCUUGCGAAAAUAAACACUAGCGGGAUGAAGGCGGCGGGGUGCGA